UGCACCUCAUAGACCAGUAACCUGUGCUUGUUCCUCUUCAGCACAAAGGACAGAUUAAGAUCUGGGUUAAGACAGAACAUAGACAAGAGCUAACAAUAUGCUGACUCUUAGCCUGCUGGGAGCAACCUUCAGCUCCAUUUGCUUUGCAACCAGCAUGGCCCAGAAGGUAACUCAGGCUCAGACUUCAGUGUCUGUGAUGGAGAAGAAGACUGUGACACUGGACUGUGUGUACGAAACCCGGGAAAGUACUUACUACUUGUUCUGGUACAAGCACACAGCAAGUGGGGAAAUGGUUUUCCUUAUUCGUCAGGAGUCUUACAAAAAGGAAAAUGCAACAGAGGGCCGUUAUUCUCUCAAUUUCCAGACUUCAGAAAGUUCCGUUGGACUCAUCAUCACAGAUGCACAGGUGGAGGACUCAGGGGUGUAUUUCUGUGCUAUGAGCAAGGGCACAGUGGCAGAGGUGUCUGCAAGAGCCCCACAAAAACCUCAACCACAUGGAGGCUCUGAGGAAAGACUCCACAGACAGGGGGAGCCGGGGCUGUGGCAGCACAGGAGAGGGGCUGGGAAAAGUCCUUAGUGCAGUUCGUACGCA